CGGGGCGGCCCCGCCCAGCGCUGCCGCGGAGCGAGGAGGAAAUGGCGGCGCGGCGCGGCUGAGACCCUCGGCGGCCGCGGCGAGUGCCCUCCUUCCCUGCUCGCGGAGCCAGCAGGAAAACGAGGAUUGAUAGCAUUUGGACGUGCUGACAACUCAGAGAUUGUGUGGCACUUGUGAGUCAGGAAAUCCAGCAUGUGCUGGCUGGAGGAUGCUGAAUGACUCUGAUCCUGUGCUGCCCUCCUCUGGCUCAGCUCUUCAAGGAGAAACAAUUCGAGCCUCUGAUGCUGUGUCAGCAUUUCAGAGUGGGGACAGUGUUGCCUGUACUAUGGAACAAGCUGGAAACACAGUGCCAUUAGAGUCUGAACCUAAUACUGACAACAUGGAAAACAGUUCUCCUGCAUCAGUGUUGGAUGAUAAAGGUGAGCAAAGCAAUGAGGAGGAACAAAAAUCUGUCAAGCCAACAAGUAAAGAGUUCAGGAAAACCUGGGGGUUUCGGAGGACCACGAUUGCCAAGAGAGAGGGUGCAGGAGAUGUUGAUGUGGACUCCAGUGAGCAGCAGCCUCAGCAGCAGCAAGGCAUAAACCUCAGGAGGAGUGGACGGCAGCCAAAGCGCACAGAGAGAGUGGAAGAGUUCCUGACCACAGUGAGGCGCAGGGGCAGGAGGAGUGUUCCCACUACCCUGGAGGAUUCCAGUGAAGCAGCCUCUGGGCCAGCCACGGAUGCUGAAACUGCUUCUGAGGACAGUGUUGAAAGCACUCCAGAUACAAAACCUGUCACUCGGAGGAUUUGCACCAGGAGUUGUAAGGAGCAGAAAAGUCCUAAAAGCAGACCCACAAAAGAGGAAGAGGAAGAAGAAGAGGAGGAGGAGGAAGAGGAAGAUGCUACUUCUGAUAGUGACAGUGAUGGGUUAACACUAAAGGAACUGCAGAAUCGGCUAAGAAAGAAACGUGUUGAGCAGAAACCUCAGCUGGUGUUGAAGGAUGUGCAGAACCACCUGAGGAAAAGGAAUUCAGAGCAAGAUCCUGCCAAAACAGGUGAUGUCACACCUGAAAAACAGGAGGAGUCUGAGCUGCCUGUCAAACAGGAGCCUGAGACUGCAGACAGCACUGAGAUUGCAAGUCAGGUAGUUGUGUCUGAGGAGGACACAGAAGACCUUGAGGCCCAGAAGGAGGAAAAGCCAGCCCUUGGUGCAAAGGGAGCCUCGGAUGAGGAACCCGAAGAACAGCCCAAAAGCAAACCCGAGUCUGAGAUCUACGACCCAAAUGCCCUGUACUGUAUUUGUCGUCAGCCUCAUAACAACAGGUUUAUGAUUUGUUGUGAUAGAUGUGAGGAAUGGUUUCAUGGUGACUGCGUGGGUAUUUCUGAGGCUCGAGGGCGAUUGUUGGAGAGGAAUGGUGAGGACUAUAUCUGUCCAAACUGCACCAUUCUCCAGGGACAGGAUGAGCCUGUUUCAGAACUAGACCAGCAGGAAGCUAAAGUGGAGCAAGGAAAUGCUGAUGGCACAGAAUUCACAAGCAUAGGAACAAUUGAACAAAAAUCAGUUGAGGACCAAGGAAUCAAGGGUAGGAUUGAAAAAGCUGCAAAUCCAAGUGGAAAGAAAAAACUAAAGAUAUUUCAACCUGUAAUUGAAGCUCCUGGUGCUUCCAAGUGCAUUGGCCCUGGCUGUUUCAACGUGGCCCAGCCCGACUCCGUGUACUGCAGCAAUGACUGCAUCCUCAAACACGCUGCAGCCACCAUGAAGAUAUUGAGUUCUGGCAAAGAUGCAAAACCAAAACCUAAAGAGAAGAUCAAGCCAAAAUCUGAAAAGCCUGGCGUACCAAAACCUCAGCAGCAGAUGGGCAUCAAACCAGUUUCAAACCAAAAGAGACAGUUUCCUGAGAAAAGAGAGGUGAAUGUGAAGAAGACUGUUGUGAGCACGGCCAAGACUGAGGCAAACACCCAAGCUCCUGCUCGAGAGCCAGUGGCAGAACCCAUCACGCCGUCCUGGGCCAGCGAUCAUAAUUACAAUGCUGUAAAGCCUGAAAGGACUGCUGCCAUUUCACCUGCACUGUUGUUCAAAUGUAUGUAUGGCUUAGGGAUAUUCCUGAAUAAUCAUAUUUUCUUUGAAUACCCAUCCAUUCUUGGCUCUGCAAGACCUAGGGAGUUUAGGAUUUGGGGGUUUUUUCUUAUUAUGGCACCAAGCUACUUUUCCCACCUUCAAAGAUUCACACACAGCUACACACAAAUAAGAGACACUUUUAGGAGUUUCAUUUGUAUCAUAUGACAGUUGUAUGAUUAAGAGCCUGUUGACCUACCCAGCUGAUUUCUGGAUGAAAACUACAUGGUUAAGCUUGAAAUCUUUCCCAUAAAGACAGUGUCUGUUUCUAAUCUAGAAGGUAAGUAUUGAUACAUAUGUGUUAAGUUUUACAAAAAGGUUGUGCAGUGUGCACUGUGAAUCAGCAAUUGCCUGUACUAAUUUCAGUUGUAUUUUUGUAAUUUAGAUUUGGCACCUGUCUGUCAGGUCUUGCAUUUUCAGUGCCUGGUGCCGAGAGUGAAAUCUUCAAUGUGGUAUCCAACGAUACUUGACACCUCUGCAAACAGCUUUUAACUGUCAAGUAUAUUCCUGCUGCUUUUCUUCCUUACAUGAAAUAACUUAAGGACCAUCCUUUACUUUUACGUUUUGGGGAGGGGUGGGGCAGGGGCGGGUAGUGGGAGGUAGAACUCUGUUCUUUUUAUUUUCUUCUUUUCCCCCUUUAUCUGUUCAUAUUUCACACAUUACCCACACAUACAAGAGCACAUCUCGACUGGAUGUUGGGCAGAGAUCCUGCCUUGCAUAUUUUUGCAGGUUUUGAGUAGCAUCCUUGUAACUCAUGUAAAGGUAAGUCAGUAACUGCUUUGAAGCCUGGACAGGUCUUUCUGCUUAUGACAUCUUUUGAUUGACUCCAUCUCAGUAGUUUUAUAGAGAUGAAAUCUGACAUUUCAGUUACAAACCACGCUCAUGUUAACUCCUUAUGUUAACUCCUUUGAAGAGUAAUGAAUUCAGAAAUUCAGUUCUCACAGCUUUUGUAACCACACUUCAGCCAAUUUACAUUAUAUUUUGAUAAGUAAACCUAAUUGUUGGACACUUAGAUGUGAAGUUACAGAUAAGUUUAUGAAUAAUAUUUAAGAUGAGAUUUUCUAGUUAGAAUUUUUAAACACUGAGGGAGCACCAGCUAUCCUAAAUUGCUGUUGAUGAACAUGGCACAUAUCAGGUAUAUUUUAAUGGUCUUUACCCACAUCAAGUUAAAUGGUUGUAAUUUUUCUGUGUACUUUUGCUGUGGAUUAGGCCCUUUACCUUUUGUAUUAAACUCCCUUAAGGUAGAUAUUUUAACUAAUUUCUGUUCUUUUAAGAUUCUUUUAAAGAAAAUUUAGCUUUUUUUGUACGAAACAAUAGUGUUUUAAACAUAACUAGAAUUAGUGGAAAGACAUAAAUGAAACUAUAAGGGCUUAUUUUCCUUAAGAUUUUCCUGACUGUGACUGUUGUGGGUGUCCAUAGAACCAUUUCACUUAAAAUGUUCUUAUUCCUAUAAAGUCUGUUUUUUUCCUAGGAGACAGGAAUACAGGUUUUGAGGCAGAAAGUUUGAGGGUUUUUCAAGGGAGUUUUCUUUUAAGAUUUACCACACUGUAGGUUUUACAGAUUUAACCACUUCCAGUAGAAAACUGGAUUCCUGCAGUGAAAUAGUAAAAUUGUUUCUAAAAGACUGUAAUUACCAGACAUUAGUAACAAAUAGAGAACAACCUACUUCAUGUGGUGAAGAAGUCUCAUAUCAAAUGCAUGGAAGAACUUCAGAUUGUUUUUGUUAAGGUAAGUUGCACUGAUAUGUGGGAACUCUGCCAUUACUAAAUGCCCAGAUAAAUUGUUUGUAUAUUUUUGAAAAAAUGCGUCCUGCUUUUUAAUGGAUAGGUGUGUGCUGUAGUCUUCCUAAGAAGCUGCCAGUGCACCAUCCUCAAAAGUACUCUACCAUAUUUUAUUUCUGUAAGAAAUCUUUGUGCUAUUCAAAACCUAAAAGUUACAGCAUUAGGGAAACUCGUGAGAGUCGUCUCACUUCAGGUAUCUAAGAGUGAGAAGUCUCUAAAUCUGAGCUAGUCUGUCAAGGAAAACAUGUUUAUUGGACCAAACAUAAUCUGGUUUAGGUGCAAAUCUUAGAAGUAAAUAACUCCCAGUUUAGAAAUAUGCAUUUCUGCACAUUGAUUAUGAAGGACUUGGAGUCCAGAAGAGGCAAAGGACUUCCAAAUGCAGUAUUUCAGAAUACCUGUGUUCUUCCAGAGCUUCCAGCCAUGUUCACCAAAUCCUUGUUUGCAACUUCAGUGCAGGAGGCCUUUUAGGAAUUAAGAAAACUUAAACUGCUUAACAGAAUCACUCUCUAAUACUCUUUCCAUCAGUCAUUUUAUCAUUUCAAACAUAGAUUUAUUUUAUAUAUUUACUCUGUACUUGUGAGUUACAAGGUUUUGUUGUUAUUACACGAGAUCAUUGUUCUGUUUACUACCAAGAAAAUGAAGUCACUUUUAAAGAUGUACUAGGUGGUAGGAGUAUACCAUGUGUUUGCAUCUAAGCCUACCACCAGGGCCCUUCUCCUAACCUGUUCUGCAAUUGUGAAAAAAAGGGAUAUUUAGUGCUGCUACUGUGCAGUUACACAGAACAGUGGUAUUUCUUUUUCCUUCUGUUACCCCCUUAGUUUGUGUUUCUUCAUUUCCUAACUUUCCUGUGUCUUUUGGGGAUAUGAGUUAGGGAUGUACUUAGAAGUGACUUUGUACACCAGAACCUGGUGUGUGAGAAAUGACACUGUCUUCCAUCUUUCUGUGCCCAGUGAAAGUAAUCCUUUUGAUUAAUUUAAAAACUAGAGUGGGAAAUACCUUGAUUUGAUAAAUGAAUAUUAAGUAAAAGAACUUCCAAAGUUGCAGACAGCAUUUGGAGUACACAUAUAAAAGGAAAUUAGUUCUGAGUUACAUUCCCUUUCAGAAGAGUUGGUUUUUCUUUUGUUAGGAAAAUUGGUAUUAAUGUAAUAUGCAGUACUCAGAUUUUAUAUUGCAUUUCAGAAGUCAUCCUGGCUUCCAAAUUCAUACAAGUAUGUGGAUUGUUGAGAUUUCUGAACAUUGUUCAGAGAUUCAUGUUACAACAGCAACACUUGUAAGAGACAUUUUUUUUUGUAUUUUUGGUAUUAAUUGUGAAGCAGAAGUCAGCAGCAAUUGCAGUUUUAAAAUAGAAUAUGAAUCCCAAAGGAGGGGAAGAGGGGUGUAAGCAUUUACAGUUUUUAAACUACCCAGUCCUAAGUAUGCUAAGCAUUCAUUAGUGCUUCAAAGCUUUGAAGUUCACCCAAUUUCAAACAAUAAUUUACUAAAUUCUGGUGUUAAAAUGGCUUAAGUAUCUUUCCUGCUUUUACUGAAAAAAGCAGCUAAGUAGGUAGGAGAGUGAGGAGGGAUUAUGAGGUAAAAGCUCAAAAGGAAGUAUUAAAUUACUGUUCAUGUGGGAGAACUUCAGAGUAAAAAGCACUUGUCACACCAAAUCACUAAACUUGUGUUUACAUUAACUGCAGACAGAUAUACAGUGUGAAUUUAUAGCAAAUCAUGAUCAUACUUUAUUUGGUACCAGUAUUUCACUAAAGUUCUUAAUGAAUGGGGUUUGGAAGGGAGGGGGAGUGUUUCCUUCAGAGAAAACGUCAAUGUUUGUGGUCCUGCUCCUGCUUCCCAGCAGGGAAAUACGAAGAGACAACGCUGCCACCUCCUGGAAGUGGGAGCCCUGGCUCUGGUGAUACAAACUUCCUUUUGUUAUCCCUUUUCAGUUUUUUUCAUCUCUUCUGCAGCUGAACUUUUCGACACUCAAGAGCAAUUCACAAAGGGAAUAGGAUGUGCUUGUGUAGUUAAAGAUCUUGGACUGUUUAUUCCUGUACACCUCUUACAAAAUAAGGAGACUUUGAGAAUGGGACACAGGGAUGCCCCACCAGCAGAAACUGCUGUGUGUAUCAAAAUGGCAGGAUUGUAGCAUGCAUAAUUUAUGUGUGCAUUUCCUUGUGUCUUGAUUUUUUUUGUUCUUUAUGUAAUAACAGCAUGAAGACAGGAAAGAAAGAAAGAAAGAAAACCAUUCUAGAAAGAGCAGGGGGAAUAGAGUGCACUAAAGACAGGAUUUAUGGCUCAGGAAGUAAUAGUGGUGUGUAGGGAGCUGUAAGUACUGAUAUGAAGAGUAAAGGAUAAGGUCUUGUGUACCCACAGGCUGGUGCCAAUUUAAUGCUGCUUUUCAGGCAAGAUCAUACCAGCUGAAGUUGUGACUGUUGAGUGCAGUGGAUGUCCAUAUACUGCUGUUGGCUUAGCAUAACUUAAAAUAUAUUUUACUUAACUUCUUAAGCCAUAGGUAUGUUUGCCUGCAAGGGCUGGAUUCCUUUGAGUGUGAGUGCUUCCCCACAGGAAAAACUGGGCUGUGCCAGGUUCCAUACUGUUAUAACUGAACUACUGCUGGCAUCUGAAUUGAUUCCUAGAAAGCCAAGGUGUCCUGCUUAAUGCUGUGUUCUGCAAUGUAGGCCCAUCCUGAGAGGCAGUAAGUAUUGAGUAGUACCAGGGAAAUGAAAAUUCCCUGAUUUUGGUACUGACCACUUUUUGGGACACCUGGCUGCCCUGUAUGUAGGUCUGGCCUAAAUGUUUGAACUAGAGGAGUUUUCAGAAAGGCUGCUGACUGACCAGUAAUGAUCAGCAAACCCAAGAUGAGUCUGCCAGAACUUCUGAGAAAUUCACCUUGGAGACCUGGCUUUGGAAGGGUUGUACAGGAGUAUAACCUGGCAGCUCCACUGCUGAACUCCUCUCAUGAGACUGGCAGGGGCUGUGCUGGCCUGGGGCUGGUACAAGACCUGAGCCCUGCCUGUGGAGGGAGGCAGACCAUAGUGGUGCUGAAGCCAACGUCCCCUGGGACCCAGCCAGUUAAAAGGAGCAGUGGAAUCCUUGGGGAGCCAUUUUCAUCUCCUGCCUGUGAACUACUGGAGCUCCCCUUCUCUGCUCUGCAAGGUAUGUCACACGUGCCCUGUGGCUGGCAGCCACGUGAAGAUUUUUGCCAUCUCUUAAGUUAGGAAGGCUGGUCCCUGCUCCUGGCAUGUGCUCCUGGCACGUGCCUCUCAAACACCCAGCACAGCCGAGGCACUCGGAGACAGCAGGCCAGCACUCCUGCCACCAGGGGUGCUUUGGUUUCAGUGUGAGAACCAUUGUUCAGGGGAAGGGUUGGGGGGCAGAAACCUGGUACAGCUUUCAGAGGCAUUGUGCAUAUGAGGGUGGUUAAUCUCAUCAUCAAUACUGAAAGUGAUGAAAGUUUGAUUAAAAACACUCACCACCCUCUUGCUGUUUUGCUUUCUUUUACUAAUUUUACUUCAGUUCAAACUUUGAACUUCGCUUACUUGACUGCAUAGCCAGUGAAAAAGUUCUUUGCUAGUCCCCAAAUAAAAGGGAUUUUUUUUUUGAGGUGAUAACUGGUACUUUGAGUCGAGUUUGCUGCUGAUUGACUGUGUCCGGUCUGUGCUGAACUUGGAACCCGAAGAUGGCCUGUCCGUACGAGGAGUGAUGAUGCCAAUCCAUGAACAGUCUGGAACAUAAGAAGCCCUUUUUUUUGCCUCAGAUAGUGCCCCUCUCUCUCAGGAGAGAGUAGAGAUGCAGUUGUCUAACGUAGAUAGCUCACUUCAGUAUCAUGUAGAUUAAAAUAAAACUUGUGUGUCAAAGCUACAGAUGUGCAUCAGCACAGAGCUACAGGUUGGUUUGAACACAAAUCACCACAGAAAAGGCAGGCCCUUGUCUCUGAGUCUCCUGAAUUUAGAGACAGGCUUACUUUGUGUGCCUGAAUGUAGCGGCUUGGCACACAGCUUAACUCCAGUGCAGAUCAGAAGUGAUGGGAGCUUUCAAAGAACAGCAGUGGGGCAGGCAGCACAUGCCAGAUACUAGUGUUCAAUAAAGUUUGAUUUGGUCUUGAAAGUGGACAGAGAUGCGGCAGGUAAUAGUGAAAACUAACACUGAAACCGAUUUAAGAGCAGCUCAACACGUCUGAAUUAGAGCUAGCACUGAGUUAUCUUUGAGGGAAGUGACAAAAAGCCCUGCAGAAGCAGGUGUGAGGAGAGAGCAGUGAACAGGCUCGGAGCUGCUCCUCAUCUGCACAGCCGCGGGCACCGGUGCUCGGUGCCACCAGAGGGGGCUUCGGGGCACCAGCGGCGCUGAGCAGUGCCCGAGGCACAGAUGUCAGGCGGCCCCAGCACGGGACUGGGCACAGCUGGCUCGGAACUGGUAAGUAGCUUCCCGUUGUGGAGUGCUUUAGGACUGACAGCUAAAGCACCUGCUCACCCGUGUCUUACUCAGUUUUUUCAGUUCCAAAAGGUUUCACCACUCGUGAUUAAAGUUCUGUAGUGACCACUGCACUGGGGCAGGGGGGGCUGGUUAAAUUUUACUCUGUUCAGGUUAUUCCUGUCACUAGUCACACAGGAGGGGGCCAUGGCACAACUGUGUCAGGCAGCUCCUCUUGGGACGUGGGGCUGAGUAGUGGUGGGAAACUGCUGAACCACACCAAUUCUGAGGUUGGGAAAUCCUGCCUGUCCUCUACUUCAACAGUUUUCCAGAGGGGAAGUGCAGUUGCUAAAUUCUCAGCUACUGGCAAAGAGGGGUGAGGUGUUUCCCUUGUAGGCCAGAAGCCUGUGCUGCCCUGGGUGCCAGAGCGGAGAAGCUGCAGCACGUUGUGAUGACGGCGCAGGGACGGCCACCACAGCCACCUGCGGCUGAGCCCGAGGAGCCACAGGACCGAGCGGGACUUGGAGGCUGAGGUCACUGCCCGAGUCUUGUGUGACACCCAAAACGCUGGCAGGGCAGGUCCUGCAGAGGUGACUGGCUCUGCUGGGCUCUGCACACCUGUGUGUAAGGACCAGUGCUGGUGCCUCUAGAGAUGUGCUCUUGUCACGGGAUGGAAUUGCUCAGCUCUGCCCAGCCUUUACCCUGGCUGUGUAAAUACUUUCUAACAGUGAGAAGUCCUGAAAAGGAGCACUAAAAGCCAGACAGGCCUGGGCUGCCUCUGCUGGGCAGUGUCUCCUCAAGUGCUGGGUUCCUGAUGUCCUGCUCCCUUGGGCCUGCACUCCCAUUGCAGAAAGUUCUGUGCAAGCUGGACACGACACAGCCAUCAGCUCCUCUCACACUGCCUGGAGGAAUUUCAUCCUGGGAAAAGAAAGUAGAUUAAUACAGAUGGAAGAGACCAUGGGAAGCAUUAAGAUGAUACUAGACACCAGAAACAAUAGUGCUGGUGUAUGAACAGCCUUAUGCCAAAAUCUUAAUUCUGUAGAGAAAAUCACAGUAUUGCACACAAGUGUUUUAAUGUCCUGUCAGAGGAGCUGUGAUGCUUUUUUUAAUUCAGAAAACCACCAAAAUUAUGGCUUUACUGGAGUCAUUGUGAAAUGAAGAUCAGGUGUAACAGCCUGUGUUUUAUGUCCAUAGCAUUUAAAAGUUUUAACAUCAACUAGAGUCAGAAAUUAAAGUUCUUUUGAAGAGCUGUGAUUUGAAUAAUUGUAAUACUAUACAGAGAAAAGGAAUAGCACAUUUAUUCUGAUAUUUAAAAAUUGAAAAAAGUAGGUAAUAGUUUCAGCAAAACAGCUCAUCACAAAUGAGAUAAUUAAUACAGAAAUCAGGAUUAGUUUUUGAAGUGGCUCUCAAAAGCAAUUACUCUAAAGAAAGAUUGGGUGGAGAGGGAUAGAGGAAAGAACCAGAGUAGUCUUAAAUGCUAUACAGAAAUGUUCUUUAAAGAUUGGAGAAGAAACAAAGUCUCCUUUGGAUAAUGUACGUGCUGGUGCUGUAAUUUGGGGUGUUGGUGAGGGACUGGGAUACAAGUACAGCCUCCAAAUCCUUCAUGCAAAGUUAACAGCCCUAUGCUGUGCAAAUCCUGCUUAAACUGGGCCUCCACAGUGGGCUGGCAGUGCUGAGACACCGUGUUGAGAGGUUCACAAGUACCUGGAACCAUCGGGCUCGUCUGUCCCAGCAGAUGCUGUGGCAGUUCUGUCCUGCUCUGCACGCAGAAGCCUCGGUCAUGGCUGUGUUGUAAUGUCAAGUGUAAGGGCACAGGGAAUUUCCUCAGGGGAGGGGUUCUGUGUCUGUCGGCACUUGGUGGGAGAGAUUCUAGUUCUGUCUGUGGUGAGCACACCGAGUCAUGUUUGUUAAGCUGGGAGGAAUGAACAGCUUUCUGCCAGAGGACUUGUCGGGUUUCAUCUUGGGAACGUUUUGGCUCAUUAGUUGUAGCUGCACCUCGGUCUCUUUAGCCCACACCUCCCUCCAGUCAGUAAGGAUCCCGUUCCUGUCCUAACAAGAGGCCCACAGAACAAAAUGGGAAAUUUGGAAUUACUAUUAUUUUAAAUGGUGUUUCUGACAUCAGGCCAGGGAGGUUCACCUGGGUGUUAAAAGUGCUGAAUAGAAGAACCACCAGUUGCCUUAUUCUAAACUGCUGGUAGUGAAACUCCAUGUUAAUCUCUUAAGUAGGAUAGACUGAUGUUCAGUGCUUGUCUCAUCCUUUUAUUUUAAAUUUGGUUCAGGGUUUUUAUUACAGGUCCCCUGGAAUUACUGAUGAAAAGGACCAAACCCACCAUGGCACAAAACACAGUGGCCAGUGUUUGCAGUAGCAUUGACUGUGCCUUCUCCUCAUGCUGCCCAUAGACUGCAUGGCCAAGCACUUGGAAAUCAUGGGCUGGGGGAAUACCUGCUCAUGAUCUAGCUCUUCCAUUUGCUGAGCAGCUCUGGCAUCUGUUCAGGAGUAAAACUCCAUGUGUUGGCAUACUGCUGUCAUAAAAGAGUACAUGUUGCUGUUAGUGCUUCCAAACAUACAGCUGCCACGUUCCCAUACCUGUCAGGAGGUGCUGUCAGCUUUGGGGUGUGCUCAUGUUGUGGAUAGAUCAGGAGUGAGCUGCCACCCCAAGAGAUUGUGCUGCUCCUUCCUCACCCUCCACUGGCUGCUCCUGGGCCUUGGAUCUAAGACCAGUGCAAUGCACAGUGGGUUGCUUCAGCUGAAUUAUGGGGCAGCACAUUGACCCUGUAACCCAAAACUUGAUAGGACAAAAAUUCUGAUUUCUCAUUGUCAAAACAGGGUAAGAGGGUUUUUUUUAGGUUAGCUUCAUGUACAGCUGUCACAGCUUGUUGGUACAGAGGAUCUAAGUAUUCUGGAUUCUUUAUCAUGACCUGCACAUGCUUGAUUGGACAGUGUCAGUUUGAACAGAACCUUGGUAGUUCUGGAGAACUAAGAGUCACAGCUGAGGUAGCACAUACAGAAUCUGUAUCAUCCAUGCCUGAUCAACAAGUCCUGCUCAGGAGAUACUUGAAAUUGGUAUAAAAUAGUUGUAGCUUGAAAGUGUCAGACAUACAUGAUACUUGGGAGCUGUUUGUGUGUUUUCAGUUGGCUAAAGAAGCAUAAAAUCACACACCUUUAGAACAGUCAUGGUGCUAGCAGCUGGCAGGUCAAAGGAUGCCACUGUGUGUGCUUGGACCUUACAGACUGCUGAUCUUCAGCUCCAGGAAUGUCAAUCUAGCUUUGUACUAGUAGCUUUUAUUUAUUUAUUCAUUUAUUUUACAAGUCUAUAUUCUUGCAGUAAUAGAGCUGUUUGUAACAGAAAGGUGUUUGGUGUGGGUGUAGUUCUUGUAUACACAACAUCUGAUGGACACAAAACAUCUUGGUUCUGCUAUUUUUCGUUCUCUCAAUGUAAUUUUUAUUAACUACUUUGAACUACUCAUUAAUUAGUGGUUAAAGGAUUAAGAAUAAAUUUACAGUCAUACUUCUUCUGUAACCACAAAGAAUUAAGUGUCUUGGUACUGAUGAUUAAAUUUUGCUGUCACCACUUUGCAAGCCAAGCUGUUCAGUCCUGCCUUGCCAUGGCAGGUCACAGUGUGCUGCUGUCCUACCUGCCUUAAAAGGUACCGCUCUUUUGUGCAGAAGAUCAAAUAAACCAGGAGCAAGAGAAUGGGAGUAAUUCCUGCAGUGUUAUCAGUGCACACGUUUUGGAUAUUUGCCAU